CUAAAAUCGCCUCUCUGAUCACUGUGAACAACAUUACUUGCUAGAGAUUACCUGGAUACUGCAGAUUUUUUGGCUGAAAAGCCUCUGCCAGAGACCUCUGUCUCUGUGUUGGGGGUCUGGUUUGGCGUUCUCCCCCCUCCUCCUUCAUCAACUUUGUUUGAAGCUCGGAGUUCUCUCUCUGGUGAACUUUAAUAUGUUUGUGCAAAUUGGUGGUGUUACCACAGUGGCGAAUAAUCUUUUUGCACACAUCACAUGUGGAAGAGUCUGUAUCAGCUGGAGUAUAAAAACUCCACACAGCGCUUCUCUUUCUUUCCGCUAUAUUCUGCUUCUCUCACUGUUCUGACUCUCCACUCUCCGCCUCCGUUAGCCAGAGAAGGGGAGGGGCAAAGAGAGAGGGGUGCGUUUUUUGCACGGAGACUUGGAGAGAGCUGUGCUCGCUUGAACUCGGAGAGAAAAGUAACAAUUAUCGAUCCCAAUGCUCAUCUUGGUAUAGAUAUUUAGAUCGAUACGACCAGCCCUACUAUAUAUUCAAUUUUGCGAGCUUAAUUUUUAUCUUUAUGUUUAUUUUUUCGCGAACUGAAUUGAGGAGAGACGCGCUGCACCAUGACAGUACUCCGAGACACAGUAAUACCUUUCUGGGCUGUGUGUAUGGUCUUACUGGAGCCACAGUCGUAUGCCCAAGGUCCAAACACUUUGCGUAAGUGUUUUGAAUGCAAUGACGGGUGCCCAAAGAUGGACUGCAUUUUUAACACAAAGACAAAUGAAAAAUUGUGGGAAGAAAGUGGAGCAAAGCAAGGCCUACUUAAAUGUCCCCGCACCCCUCCUCCCAUGACUGGACAGUGUGUUCCCUGUUUAGAGGACCUCCAGGUCCUCAUUGUGUGUUCCAACGUGUCUGCGGAGAUCGAGCUGGACCUGGAGGCCUCUGAUGGGAACCACUUCUCCUACACUGCUGCCAGGCUCAUAGCGAUGCCUCCAUCACUAAAGACCCUCUCAAGGCUGGAGGCUGGCCUUGACAGCACCUAUCUGACCCCAAGAAACUGGACAGGGA
rnacentral:lncRNA from 1 species